rnacentral:rRNA from 1 species
AGGGGAGUGAAAGAGAACCUGAAACCGUGUGCCCACAACCGAUCAAAGCCCCUUAUGAGGGUGAUGAUGUGCUUUUUGUAGAACGAGCCAACGAGUUACGGUAUGUAGCAAGGUUAAGUACUUAAGGUACGGAGCCGAAGGGAAACCAAGUCUUAAUAGGGCGACUAGUUGCAUGCUGUAGACCCGAAACCGGGUGACCUAUCCAUGGCCAGGUUGAAGCGGGGGUAAAACCCCGUGGAGGACCGAACCACGUUGGUGUUGAAAAACCAUGGGAUGAGCUGUGGAUAGCGGAGAAAUUCCAAUCGAACUCGGAGAUAGCUGGUUCUCCUCGAAAUAGCUUUAGGGCUAGCGUGAGGUGAUAUGAGUACUGGAGGUAGAGCACUGAAUGGGCUAGGGGGUAUAGCACUUACCGAACCUUAUCAAACUCCGAAUGCCAGAUACUUUUAGCCUUGCAGUCAGACUGCGAAUGAUAAGGUCCGUAGUCAAAAGGGAAACAGCCCAGAUCGUCAGCUAAGGUCCCAAAGUGUAAGUUAAGUGGAAAAGGAUGUGGGAUUUCUAAGACAACUAGGAUGUUGGCUUAGAAGCAGCCACUCAUUAAAAGAGUGCGUAAUAGCUCACUAGUCGAGAGAUCCUGCGCCGAAGAUGUCCGGGGCUAAAACUUACCACCGAAGCUACGGGAUUGCAAUAGCAAUCGGUAGAGGAGCGUCGUAAUCGGGCUGAAGUCGUACCGUAAGGAGCGGUGGACUGAUUACGAGUGAGAAUGUUGGCAUUAGUAGCGAGAUGUAGGUGAGAAUCCUACAGGCCGAAUACCUAAGGUUUCCUCAGGAAGGUUCGUCCUCUGAGGGUUAGUCGGGACCUAAGCCGAGGCCGAAAGGCGUAGGUGAUGGACAAUCGGUUGAUAUUCCGAUACCACUAUAAUCGUUAUUAUCGAUGGCGUGACGGAGAAGGAUAGAGUGUGCUAGCUAUUGGAUGCUAGUCUAAGCGUUUAGGGAGUCAGGAUAGGCAAAUCCGUCCUGAUAAUUCUGAGGCGUGAUGGGGAAGGUUCUAAGGAACCGAAGUACUUGAUUCCAUGCUUCCAAGAAAAGCGUCUAGAAAGAGAAGUAGUGCCCGUACCGUAAACCGACACAGGUAGGUGAGGAGAGAAUCCUAAGGCCGGCGGAAGAAUCACAGUUAAGGAACUAGGCAAAUUGACCCCGUAACUUCGGGAUAAGGGGUGCCUGCGCGAGCAGGUCGCAGAGAAUAGGCCCAAGCAACUGUUUAGCAAAAACACAGGUCUCUGCUAAAGCGAAAGCUGAUGUAUAGGGGCUGACGCCUGCCCGGUGCUGGAAGGUUAAGGGGAACACUUAGCGCAAGCGAAGGUGUGAACUUAAGCCCCAGUAAACGGCGGCCGUAACUAUAACGGUCCUAAGGUAGCGAAAUUCCUUGUCAGGUAAGUUCUGACCCGCACGAAUGGCGUAAUGAUUUGGGCACUGUCUCAACUGUGAAUCCGGCGAAGUUGUAGUGCGAGUGAAGAUGCUCGCUACCCGCGAUUGGACGGAAAGACCCCGUAGAGCUUUACUGUAGCUUAGCAUUGAAUUUCGGUAUUGUCUGUACAGGAUAGGUGGGAGACUAGGAAACCAGAGCGUCAGCUUUGGCGGAGUCACCCUUGGGAUACCACCCUGAUAGUACUGAGGUUCUAACUGGAUGCCAUGAAUCUGGUGACAGGACAUUGUUAGGUGGGCAGUUUGACUGGGGCG